rnacentral:rRNA from 1 species
UGCCAGCAGCCGCGGUAAUACGGAAGGUGCGAGCGUUAAUCGGAAUUACUGGGCGCAAAGCGCACGUAGGUGGCUUGGUAAGUCGGAUGUGAAAGCCCUGGGCUCAACCUGGGAAUUGCAUUCGAUACUGCUUAGCUAGAGUAUGAGAGAGGGUAGUGGAAUUCCGGGUGUAGCGGUGAAAUGCGUAGAUAUCCGGAGGAACACCAGUGGCGAAGGCGGCUUUCUGGACCGAUACUGACGCUGAGACGCGAAAGCGUGGGGAGCAAACAGGAUUAGAUA